rnacentral:rRNA from 1 species
AUUGAACGCUGGCGGCAUGCUUUACACAUGCAAGUCGAACGGUAACAGGGAGCUUGCACCUUAUCUUAGCGGCGGACGGGUGAGUAAUGCUUAGGAAUCUGCCUAUUAGUGGGGGACAACAUUCCGAAAGGAAUGCUAAUACCGCAUACGCCCUACGGGGGAAAGCAGUGGAUCUUCGGACCUUGCGCUCAUAGAUGAGCCUAAGUCGGAUUAGCUAGUUGGUGGGGUAAAGGCCUACCAAGGCGACGAUCUGUAGCGGGUCUGAGAGGAUGGACCGCCACACUGGGACAGAGACACGGCCCAGACGCCUACGGGAGGGAGCAGUGGGGAAUAUUGGAAAAUGGGCGGAAGCCUGAUCCAGCCAUGCCGCGUGUGUGAAGAAGGCCUUUUGGUUGUAAAGCACUGUAAGCGAGGAGGAGGCUACCUGGAUUAAUACUCUAGGAUAGUGGACGUUACUCGCAGAAUAAGCACCGGCUAACUCUGUGCCAGCCGCCGCCGUAAAAC